AUGGGAGGUGAUUUUAAUGCUCGUACAGCUGCAAACUGGGAAGCGCUAGGCAAGGCCAAAUGGUGGGUCAUACCUGAUCACCAGAACUUGGAUUUCUCCCCCCAUAUACAGAGAAAAUCGAAAGAUAAUAGGGUUAACGAAGUGGGAACCCUUCUUUAUCAACUGAUUUUACGUUUGAAUUUGAUAAUUUUAAACGGAAAUUGUCCCCCGGAUAUUCCAGGUGAGUUUACUCAUUUGAGCACACUUACAAAUAGUGUUCUCGAUUAUUUUAUUGUUUCCAGAGAUUUAUUCCCAAAUUUUUCUUAUUUUAAAAUAGAAAACGUCCAAAUGAAUGACCAUCUCCCCUUGAGUGCCAAGCUUUCUCUAGAUUGGAAGUCUAUCAAGCCUAGACACCCCAUAAAUAUGGGAAUAAAUACUGCAGAACAAGUGAGAGGAAUAAAAUGGUCAGUAACUCAAACCCAAAAAUAUAUGGAAUUCUUCCAACAAGAGAAAAUUCAAACUCAUGUUGUUUUAGAUUUAGAUCUGUAUGGGCAUGAACGAAUUAUUAAUUCAUUCUCUUUGCUUACAGAAGAUCUUAUGUCCUUUUUUGCAGUACCAGCCAUCCAAGUAAAUCGGGCCCAUUUUAAGACCGGUGACCCCUGGUUUAAUUUAAAAUGCAAACAAGCUAGACGACAUCUCUGUGCCAUUUACAAUGAAUAUAAAUCUUCUGGUGCCUUAGUAUUACCUAGGAACUACCAGCAAGCAAAAACAGCAUAUAAGCAAGCCCAGAGAAUGGCUAAGCAAGAGUGGCAACAUAAUCGCUGGCAGGCGCUUAUAGUCGCCUCUAGUUCAUGUAGCUCAUGGCUAUUUUGGCAACUGGUUAAUAGAAGAUCAAGGAGAUAUCCCUUAACAAUAAUUCCUGCCCCGGUCUGGGAAUCCUUUUUAAGGAAAUAUUUUGCGUCACCAGAUUCCAAUACCAACGCUCUUGAUGAUGUAUUUGACCAUCUCCCCAUCUGGCCCCCUACUGACCCUGAUGAAAUCUUGAAUUUAAUCUCUAAACUUAAAAUCGGCAAAGCCCCUGGGCCAGAUUUGGUUCCGGCGGAAGCCAUAAAACUACAUUCUGACUGGUGGGCAAAAAUCCUGGCUGUUACUUUCGAUGCUAUUAAUGCAACUGGAAGGGUGCCAAAAAUAUGGAAGGGUGCUAUUAUAAUUCCAAUAUAA
rnacentral:lncRNA from 1 species